ensembl:rRNA 5S_rRNA 5S ribosomal RNA
UCCAGCUGCCAUAUCACCCUGUAGCCCAAGACUGGUUGCCCACUGAAGCUAAGCAGGGCUGAGCCUGGUCAGUACCUGGAUGGGAGACCUCCUGAGAAAACUAGGUUGCUGCUGGAA